GCCCGCCUAGCUCAAUCGGCUAGAGCGUCAGACUUUUACGUUGGUAGCUCCGGCUGCGGUACUGGAAUCUGAAGGCUGCGAGUUCGACCCUCGCGGUGGGCU
rnacentral:tRNA from 1 species